GAAAUCAACUUUAGCUCAGUUGGCAGAGAUCGAGACUCUGGAUCUCUGGGGUUGCGGGUUCGAUCCCCACGUUGGACA